UUUAGAGGAAGUAAAAGUCGUAACAAGGUCUCCGUUGGUGAACCAGCGGAGGGAUCAUUACCGAGUUUACAACUCCCAAACCCAAUGUGAACGUUACCAAACUGUUGCCUCGGCGGGGUCACGCCCCGGGUGCGUAAAAGCCCCGGAACCAGGCGCCCGCCGGAGGAACCAACCAAACUCUUUCUGUAGUCCCCUCGCGGACGUAUUUCUUACAGCUCUGAGCAAAAAUUCAAAAUGAAUCAAAACUUUCAACAACGGAUCUCUUGGUUCUGGCAUCGAUGAAGAACGCAGCGAAAUGCGAUAAGUAAUGUGAAUUGCAGAAUUCAGUGAAUCAUCGAAUCUUUGAACGCACAUUGCGCCCGCCAGUAUUCUGGCGGGCAUGCCUGUCCGAGCGUCAUUUCAACCCUCGAACCCCUCCGGGGGAUCGGCGUUGGGGAUCGGGACCCCUCACCGGGUGCCGGCCCUGAAAUACAGUGGCGGUCUCGCCGCAGCCUCUCCUGCGCAGUAGUUUGCACAACUCGCACCGGGAGCGCGGCGCGUCCACGUCCGUAAAACACCCAACUUCUGAAAUGUUGACCUCGGAUCAGGUAGGAAUACCCGCUGAACUUAAGCAUAUCAAUAAGCGGAGGAA
rnacentral:rRNA from 1 species